UGAGUAGGAAAGAUGAUCGCGGAUGCCCAUAAAGCAUACGAGGAAAGUCCGAGCUCCAUAGGGCAGGGUGCUGGAUAACGUCCAGCGAGGGCGACCUUAGGGAAAGUGCCAUAGAAAUGUAAACCGCCAGCUUAUGCUGGUAAGGAUGGAACGGUGCGGUAAGAGCGCACCAGCAGUCAGGUGACUGGCUGGCUAGGUAAACCCCACCUGGAGCAAGACCGAAUAGGGAAGGGAUGAAGCUGCCCGCUGAACCUUCCGGGUUGCGUCGCUAGAGCUGUCAGGUAACUGCCAGACUAGAUAGAUGAUCAUCACCGCGUGAGCGGAACAGAACUCGGCUUAUUGAUCACUCACAGC
rnacentral:RNase_P_RNA from 2 species